UACGUAGGGUGCGAGCGUUGUCCGGAAUUAUUGGGCGUAAAGAGCUCGUAGGCGGUGUGUCACGUCGGCCGUGAAAACCUGGGGCUUAACUCUGGGCGUGCGGUCGAUACGGGCAUCACUAGAGUUCGGCAGGGGAGACUGGAAUUCCUGGUGUAGCGGUGAAAUGCGCAGAUAUCAGGAGGAACACCAAUGGCGAAGGCAGAUCUCUGGGACGGUACUGACGCUGAGACGCGAAAGCGUGGGGAGCGAACAGG
rnacentral:rRNA from 1 species